CCAUUUGUGGAGCCUCGCAGUGUGCCAAGAAGAGCGCUGCCCUUGACCCCAGGGAUCAGUGUCUCUGAGUCAGAGGAGUUGGCCUGGAACUUUCUGCUGCUCCCAAAUGCUAUAUCGCCCUCAAGGUCCAUGGCAUUUGUAUGAUUGACACACACUUCCUCUAACCCCCAUAGAAUAAUGUCCUACUAACUUAUUUUUGCAACAUGGCAGAGGAACACUACAGAUUUUUUCUCUACUUCAAACUAGGGUGCACGAAAGGCCCUUUGCCAUUAGUUUCAGCCAGUCUUUCCAAUUUUAUCUCCCGCCAAUUUGCUUCAUAAUCCUUGCUCAUAAUUCCCCCAACAGAGAGUGAUCAACCACCCAAGUUUGUCCAAAUCUGAGGGGUACUGGGAUGUGGGACUUCCAUUUAAAAUAGAUACAGUUCCAGGCAAUCUAUAUCUGCCAGGAACCAAGGGAGUUCUCAGGAUGUAGGACUUCCAGGGCUAAAACUGGAAAUUUCCAGGUAUACAGGGACAUAUCGAUUACCUUACCAGAUAUAGCAGGCUCUUCUGUGCCCUUAUAUGUGCUGCUUCCUUUGUGUGUAUUCUUUGAGUCCUUCUCUACAAAACACCUAUUCAUUCUCUAAUACCCACCUUAAUUUUCCUCAGGGUUUCUUUUGCUUAGCUUUUCCAGGUAGAUUUGAUCACUUUCUUUGGGUCUUUGUUGGUUAUCUCCAUGCUAUGCUCCACAAAUAUACCUUUAUCUUCCUUUGGGGACCUCACCUUAUGUGGUUUGGAUGGAACUGACCUCACCCACCUUCCGGGGCAGUCCUGGUUGGCUUACGCUCGUCCACAAAUUGCAUUCCCUAAGCCACAGCAACUGUUCAGACAAAGGCAUAGGAGAGAGUGGGAAUUC